UCUCAAAGAUUAAGCCAUGCAUGUCCAAGUACAAACCGAAUUAAGGUGAAMCYGCGRAWGGMUCAUUAAAUCAGUUAUGGUUCCUUGGAUAUUUAAACUUACACGGAUACCUGUGGUAAUUCUAGAGCUAAUACGUGCAAAAUAACUGUAUCCAUAUAAAAUUGGAUAACAGUGCAUUUAUUAGUUAAAGGCCAAUGGGAUGCUUUCGGGCAUUCCUUUUAUUGGUGACACUGAAUAACUGCGCUAAUCGUAUGGCCCUGGUGCCGACGAUGUAUCUUUCAAGCGUCUGCCUUAUCAACUUUCGAUGGUAGGUUACAUGCUUACCAUGGUUGUUACGGGUGACGGGGAAUCAGGGUUCGAUUCCGGAGAGGGAGCCUGAGAGACGGCUACCACAUCCAAGGAAGGCAGCAGGCACGCAAAUUACCCACUCCCGGCACGGGGAGGUAGUGACGAAAAAUAACAAUACGGUGCCUUAUAUGGGUAUCCGUAAUUGGAAUGAGUCCAAUUUAAAUCCUUUUAACGAGGAUCAAUUGGAGGGCAAGUCUGGUGCCAGCAGCCGCGGUAAUUCCAGCUCCGAUAGCGUAUAUUAAAGUUGUUGCAGUUAAAAAGCUCGUAGUUUGAUAUCGGUUCAUGCUUCGUUAGGUCCACCAUAAUAGUGGUUACUUGACGGCUGAACGCAAUAACUUAUACGAUCCUUGAUGCCCUUAAACGGGUGCCUUGGACAAUAAGUACAUUUACUUUGAAAAAAUUAGAGUGCUCAAAGCAGGCUCUUAUUGCCCGGAUAUUCUAGCAUGGAAUAAUGGAAUAGGAUCUCGGUUCUAUUUUGUUGGUCUAUGGAGUCCGAGGUAAUGAUUAAAAGGAACGGACGGGGGCAUUUGUAUUGCGGCGCUAGAGGUGAAAUUCUUGGACCGUCGCAAGACAAACUAAAGCGAAAGCAUUUGCCAAGUACGCUUCCAUUAAUCAAGAACGAAAGUUAGAGGUUCGAAGGCGAUCAGAUACCGCCCUAGUUCUAACCAUAAACGAUAUCACUUUGCGAUCAGCCUGAKUCAUUUAAAAGGCUCGGCUGGCAGCAUCCGGGAAACCAAAAGUUUUGGAUUCCGGGGGAAGUACGGUUGCAAAGCUGAAACUUAAAGGAAUUGACGGAAGGGCACCACCAGGAGUGGAGCCUGCGGCUUAAUUUGACUCAACACGGGAAAACUCACCCGGCCCGGACACUGAGUGGAUUGACAGAUUGAGAGCUCUUUCUUGAUUCAGUGGGUGGUGGUGCAUGGCCGUUCUUAGUUGGUGGAGUGAUUUGUCUGGUUAAUUCCGGUAACGAACGAGACUCUAACCUACUAAAUACGUCGCUAGACUCUUUUAAAGGCGUCUGGUUACUUCUUAGAGGGACUGGUGGCGGUUAGCCACACGAGACUGAGCAAUAACAGGUCUGUGAUGCCCUUUGAUGUCCGGGGCUGCACGCGCGCUACACUGAAGUGUACAGCGCGCUUAAAUACCCUCUCCGGAAGGAGCGGGCAAACUCUUGAAUACGCUUCGUGCUUGGGAUUGGGCAUUGUAAUUAUUGCCCAUGAACGAGGAAUUCCCAGUAAGCGUGAGUCAUAAGCUUGCGUUGAUUAAGUCCCUGCCCUUUGUACACACCGCCCGUCGCUACUACCGAUUGAAUGAUUCAGUGAGGUCUUCGGACCGGCUGGUAUUGUCUCUUCACGGAGCCAUCACUGUGCUGGGAAGAUGCCCGAACUUGAUCAUUUAGAGGAAGUAAAAGUCGUAA
rnacentral:rRNA from 1 species